GGCAUUCAAGGAUUUCCCGGUGCGCCAGCUAUGGGGGUGGUGGGACCUCCAGGAAGGAAAGGUGUUCGGGGGGAAAUUGGGCCAGUGGGCCCUCCAGGACCCAAAGGCCACCAAGGGGAAGAAGGAGAAAAAGGUGAAAAGGUAAACC